CCUACGGGAGGCAGCAGUGGGGAAUUUUGGACAAUGGGCGCAAGCCUGAUCCAGCAAUGCCGCGUGCAGGAUGAAGGCCUUCGGGUUGUAAACUGCUUUUGUACGGAACGAAACGGUGAGCUCUAAUACAGUUUGCUAAUGACGGUACCGUAAGAAUAAGCACCGGCUAACUACGUGCCAGCAGCCGCGGUAAUACGUAGGGUGCGAGCGUUAAUCGGAAUUACUGGGCGUAAAGCGUGCGCAGGCGGUGAUGUAAGACAGAUGUGAAAUCCCCGGGCUCAACCUGGGACCUGCAUUUGUGACUGCAUCGCUAGAGUACGGUAGAGGGGGAUGGAAUUCCGCGUGUAGCAGUGAAAUGCGUAGAUAUGCGGAGGAACACCGAUGGCGAAGGCAAUCCCCUGGACCUGUACUGACGCUCAUGCACGAACGACGGUGGGGAGGACGAACAGGAGUAGUAUACCGUACGGUAGUACCGACCGACCCGUAACCGACUGUCACUGGUUGGUUGGUCGUUCUACU
rnacentral:rRNA from 1 species